UAACCGUUUAGGCAAUUACCCAACGGGUAAACGGUUAUGCGGGUAUGAGCAUAAAUGGUUAUGGGUAAAUUAACCGCGGUUACCCGCACGCCAUAACCAUUGCCCAUCCCUACCCAUGAUGGCAUUAAAGGACCUGAAUUGCACAAAGCAAUCCAACAAACACUUGAACUAAAAGCUACCCAAAAGAAGUCCCUUAAUUAUUGUUACUAAAUUACUAAUUCACUGAAGAAAAAAAAACACAUAACUAAGAGGAUUAGAGCUAAUCUAAAAAACCCAUGUCAUAAAUCGGCAGAAAAAUGAUAGAAUAGUAACAUAGUCGGGAAGAAAGGUGCCUAAGUUGGAUUUUCGCGAGAGGUUUGCGGAGAGCUUGUUUGGUAUUGGGUUUUGUCCUAACCAUUAAAUAAAGUUAUUAUAUGGUUUUUGGUUAAAAUUCAAAGUAUUUAAGCUAUUUUCAUUAGUUUUCAUUUUUUUAUAUAAUAUAGGAAUAUACAAUUUGUAUAAUCUUCAUUUAGGUACAUUAAAUCAUUAAUUUGAUAUCUUUCGGUAUAUCC
rnacentral:lncRNA from 1 species